CCAGGCAUGGCUGUGUCCUCCCUGGUGCCCACGGUUUGCCAGUUCUCUGGGUCUCACCCUAAGACUCAACACCUGGGCAGAAAAACAGACUUUUUUUUCCAUGGUGACAGGGCCCAAUGGGAGGAGGGGAAUCUGGCAAGUGGGGGUCUCCACAGCCCUCUUUUGGGUGGUCUUUGUUCCUUAACUGUGGUCGCUGGAAGCACAGGGGCUCCAUCCAGCUACGGGAGGUGGACAGAGGCCACACCCCAACAGUGUCAUUUCUGCAACGUGUCUCCAGCAGGUGGCUGAGGACAGCAUGAGCGAAGAGGGCUUGGAAUUGGGGCUGGAUUUUGCUGAGAGCCCCGUGGAGGAGUCCCAGGAAACCGAGAGCUGGCGAUCGGGGGAGCAGAGGUGUGGGGCUGAGGCA
rnacentral:lncRNA from 1 species